rnacentral:rRNA from 1 species
GACGAACGCUGGCGGCGUGCUUAACACAUGCAAGUCGAACGAAGAGCGAUGGAAGCUUGCUUCUAUCAAUCUUAGUGGCGAACGGGUGAGUAACGCGUAAUCAACCUUCCCUUCAGAGGGGGACAACAGUUGGAAACGACUGCUAAUACCGCAUACGAUCUAAUCUCGGCAUCGAGGAUAGAUGAAAGGUGGCCUCUAAAUGUAAGCUAGCACUGAAGGUGGGGAGUGCGGCUGGUUAGCUAGGUGGAGGGGUAAGGGCGCAACAAGGCGAGGAUAAGUAGCCGGUCUGAGAGAAUGAACGGCCACAUUGGGACUGAGACACGGCCCAGACUCCUACGGGAGGCAGCAGUGGGGAAUCUUCCGCAAUGGACGAAAGUCUGACGGAGCAACGCCGCGUGAGUGAUGACGGCCUUCGGGUUGUAAAGCUCUGUUAAUCGGGACGAAAGGCCUUCUUGCGAAUAGUGAGAAGGAUUGACGGUACCGGAAUAGAAAGCCACGGCUAACUACGUG